rnacentral:tRNA from 1 species
GCCUGGCUGGCUCAGUAGGUAGAGCAUGGGACUCUUGAUCUCAGCAUCAUGAGUUCAAGCCCCAUGUUGGGCA